rnacentral:rRNA from 1 species
GCUCCAAUAGCGUAUAUUGAAGUUGUUGCGGUUAAAAAAGCUCGUCGUUGGAUUUCUGUUGAGGUCGAACAGUGCCGCCUAUGGGUGCGCAACUGGCUCGGCUUCGGCAUCUUCUUGGAGAGCGUAUCUGCACUUAACUGUGUGGAUCGUACUUCAAGUCAGUUACUUUGAGGAAUUGUGAGUGUUUCAAGCAGCUUACG